rnacentral:rRNA from 1 species
UAGGGAAUCUUCCACAAUGGACGCAGCUGAUGGAGCAACGCCGCGUGAGUGAAGAAGGUCUUCGGAUCGUAAAACUCUGUUGUUAGAGGAGAACACGAGUGAGAGUAACUGUUCAUUCGAUGACGGUAUCUAACCAGCAAGUCACGGCUAACUACGUGCCAG